UACGUAGGAUGCAAGCGUUGUCCGGAUUUACUGGGCGUAAAGCGCGCGCAGGCGGCAUACCAAGUAUUCAGUGAAAUCUCCCUGCUCAACGGGGAGGGUGCUGAGUAGACUGGUAAGCUAGAGGACGGUAGAGGGGGGUAGAAUUGCUGGUGUAGCGGUGAAAUGCGCAGAUAUCAGGAGGAACACCGAUGGCGAAGGCAGGUCUCUGGGCCGAUACUGACGCUGAGGAGCGAAAGCGUGGGGAGCGAACAGG
rnacentral:rRNA from 1 species